CUUCGCAACAAAUAAGUCGCCCUAACGUUCAUCCAGACUUUCCUCUCGCCGAUGUGAAACACAUAUAUAUACUGUGCAUUUUUGUGUAAGUAUAGUAUAUUUGGUUGAAGUUACACCUUAUUCCAAGCUACUUGAAGAAAGGUGGUAGACCAGUGACAACGACAAUGGCGGACUAGAAUGAGAGGUUGAACGCGACAAUGACGAUUGUGGGUAAAGGUGGUAAUGUUUGGAGACAGAUUAGCAACCAGAUCUAAGCAUGGAUGGUUCUGAGAUGUCAUCACAAUUUGUGGAGUUGCCUGCCUUCAUCAUACCAUCAAUUGCCUGCCACGUCACUCGCCGAUCACCAAUUGUUGUUGCGAUAAGUUCCUCUACAAUUUUCUCUCUCCUCUUUGUGCAGCAACCUUCUCCUUUUCAAUUUAAGGUGAUAUAUGAAGGAGCCCUAAUUAAAUAAAGAUCAAUUUAAUUACAAAA